UACAGAGGUGGCAAGCGUUGUUCGGAAUUACUGGGCGUAAAGGGCGCGUAGGCGGCCAUCUAAGUCAGACGUGAAGUCCCCCGGCUUAACCUGGGAACUGCGUCUGAUACUGGACGGCUAGAGUAUGGGAGAGGGAUGUAGAAUUCCAGGUGUAGCGGUGAAAUGCGUAGAUAUCUGGAGGAAUACCGGUGGCGAAGGCGGCAUCCUGGACCAUUUACUGACGCUGAGGCGCGAAAGCUAGGGGAGCAAACGGG
rnacentral:rRNA from 1 species